AUUUCAUAUUGAAGAAUUCAUAGCCUCCCUUCCCCCAUUUAUCCGUUCCCCCAUUUCAUAUUGAAGAAUUCGUAGCCUCCCUUCUCCCAUUUAUCCGUUCAUAGCCCCCCCCAUAAAAGAAAUCACAAUUCAUCAAAGAUUUAAUCAAAUCAUCUGUCCCUUUUUUCUCAACAUUUGUGCCAUUGCUCUGUUUCUUCAUCAAAGAAGAAGUGAGAUUCUUGGGCACACCCUUUUCCACAAUUCCCUUUUAACCAUUUGCAGAGAUGUUCUUGGCUCCAGAGGCAGAUUCCGACGAUGAAUUCGCCGUCGUGUUAGCUGGUUCGGAAGGUUUUGUGGCCGAAAUUGUGGUCUGAUUCGGCUUCAAGACUUCAACUUUAUCUUGAAUUUGAGUCUGAUUUUGCUUCGAUACUUGUCGCCACAAGUCACCAACCGUUGGGAAACCUCCUGGGCUGUUCAGAACUCGAGAAUUAGGUGCUCCGUCACUUCCAAUGAAGUUGAAGCGCCGGCGACGGUGAAGUUAGGGGAAAUGAAGAAGAACGCUGAGUGCUAUGGGGUUUUCUGUCUCACUUAUGAUCUCAAAGCUGAAAAGGAGACGAAGUCACGGAAGAAGUUGGUUAACAUUGCUUUCUCUGGUGUUGCGGGGAUGAUAUCCAAUCAUCUUCUCUUCAAACUUGCUUCUGGUGAGGUUCUUGGACCUGAUCAGCCAAUUGCAUUGAAUUAUUAGGAUCCGAUCGAUCACUGCAAGCGCUUGAAGGUUAUGAGAAAUGGGAGGCAGUUUGAGGCAACAAUACUUGAGCAAGAUAGUAAGCUUGAGUGAUUUCCAUUCCUUCUUUCAUCCAAUCAGUAUCAUCCCUACUACUUAAAAGCCCUCGAGGCAGCUCAGGAGUCAAAAGUAAAUGGCAAGAGUCUCUAUCCCGGACAGGAGGAUCUAGGUGGACGUGGGAUUAGCAGAAAAGCUUCUAUGCUCAAAGAAAACGAAAAUUCACACUCCACUUCUGAUCUUUGUGAUGUGCCAUUUGAAUCUGAUAGGAAAGAGAAGUUAAAGAUGGUAAUUGGCAAAUCAAAGAAAGAUGCACAAGAGACAGAGAAGAAUCCCAAGAAUGUGGAUUUACUGUAGAUGCAGCUGCAACAGCUGCUAUCCUUAAGACUGCCACAAAAGGAAUUAAGAGCUCUGGUUUGCGAUACAUCACUAACACUGCCUCAAAUUCGCAUACUAAUGCUAUUAGAAAUGAGGAGGGGCAGCCUGCAAGUUCAGGCAGUCUUCAGCCCUUGCUACCAUUUAGUACCGGUGAAAAGUCUGAUAAAAGUGGAAGUUGCAAUAUCUCUGCAAUGUUGCCAAAGACAAUUGCUGGAACAGCUUCUCAUGAAGUUGCAGGAGGGGAUGAUUCUUCUAAUGCAAAUCUGACAGAAGUGCAGAAGCUGAAAGCCGAGAGGCUCAAAAGGGCUAAAAUGUUUGUGGCUAUGUUGAAAAGUGGGGCAUUCCCAUCUAGAACAGAAGCAUCAAGAGGAUCAUCAGCAGAACCUGUAGAACCUGGAGUGUUGAAACCUGCUGCUAGGCUCGUUGUGCUAGCCAAGAAAGAGAGGGCAGCUUCACUGAGGCAAAGUGAGCGACAAUCAAAAAGAAAGUAUGGCUCGAAAUCUAUUGCAACAUUUUAAACAAUGUAAUAAAAGCUUCUAAGCAUGCAGUGUGUUCCACUCAGAUAAAAUUUUAUAUGAGAUAUGUGAAUGCGUGGUUAAUGCA